UGUUUUUAUAUGUUUAAUAACAAAUAACAGUAUAAAUUAAAUAAACAAAGCCUAUAUUUAUAAAAAAAUAUUGAAACAGUAUUCCAUCUGUCUGUCUGUCUGUCUGUCUAUCUAUCUAUCUAUCUAUCUGUCUGUCUGUCUGUCUAUUUGUCUAUCUAUCUAUCCAUCCAUCUAUCUAUGUCUCCACACAGAUCUACCCAUCCACUUCAUCAUACACUGGCCCCUGGCUGCAAACAUCCCCCCAUUCCACUACCACCCCCUUUCUGUCAAAGCUGAUUGUUUCCACGCCAGCAGAGGGCUGGGGGCUAGUUCACUGUCACACUACAUCAGGAAGGAUUGGGGGGGUAGAGGAGGCUAAAUUAGCAGCUAUGCUCGAGGAGUGAGGCGCAGCAGCGAGUCCCACGGCGGAGGGCUUCACCACUUCACACUUCACCUUCAGUCCCGCUUCUAAAACUGAGCGCUGAUGUCUGGAACAGAUACGUUGAAGUAACAGUGAUGUAAGUGACACAGCCUCUUUCAACCAGGGAACCUUACCUUGAAAAUAUAAUAUAUUGUUAAACAGAACCUUCGUCAAAUAAGACAAUUUUAAUUUCAGUUAAAAUGAUGUAUUAUUAUAGUGUUUUUCACAAAAAAAUAUUGUCAUAAAUCCACUUUUAAGUCAAAUGUAACAGUGGCAGGAAAAAAAAUUCAGAUCAAGGGAAUCAGCAGUAAACCAAUGCAAGGAUCCAGAGAAGAACAGCAUCACAGCAGGCAGCAGGUAGUGGGGAAACAGACAGAAAGAAAACAAAUGGAAGUAAAAGAAAGGGCCUAGGAGGAUUGUGGCAACACCGGUAAAUUGAUACAGCAGGAAGAGCCUCAUCCAGAGGUAGACAGACACCAGCACCCAACCACAAAUGCCCUUGCAGACUAUAAGGGUAGCUCUGGAAGUGGGUGACAAAGUAAAACAGGAAAAAAAAUAAGGUACUUUGGCUUAUAAACUGAUUGUUGAUUUUCUUUCAAAGUAAGUAAAAAAAGUGCAUGUUUUGUAUACAACUCAUAUUUAUUUUAUGAAUUUGGCAACUUGGAAAAUAAUAAACAUUACUUUUGCACAUGCCA
rnacentral:lncRNA from 1 species